UACGUAGGGCGCGAGCGUUGUCCGGAAUCAUUGGGCGUAAAGAGCUCGUAGGCGGCCUGUCGCGUCUGCUGUGAAAUCCCGGGGCUUAACCCCGGGCGUGCAGUGGAUACGGGCUGGCUGGAGGCAGGCAGGGGAGAACGGAAUUCCCGGUGUAGCGGUGAAAUGCGCAGAUAUCGGGAGGAACACCGGUGGCGAAGGCGGUUCUCUGGGCCUUACCUGACGCUGAGGAGCGAAAGCGUGGGGAGCGAACAGG
rnacentral:rRNA from 1 species